rnacentral:rRNA from 1 species
UACGGAGGAUGCAAGCGUUAUCCGGAUUCAUUGGGUUUAAAGGGUGCGCAGGUGGGAAAAUAAGUCAGUGGUGAAAUACUGCCGCUUAACGGUAGAAUUGCCAUUGAUACUGUUUUUCUUGAGUAUGGUUGAGGUAGGUGGAAUGUGUUGUGUAGCGGUGAAAUGCAUAGAUAUGACACAGAACGCCGAUUGCGAAGGCAGCUUACUAAGCCAUUACUGACGCUGAGGCACGAAAGCGUGGGGAUCAAACAGGAUUAGAUACCCUGGUAGUCCACGCCGUAAACGAUGAUCACUCGCUGUUUGCGAUAUACAGCAAGCGGCUGAGCGAAAGCAUUAAGUGAUCCACCUGGGGAGUACGAUCGCAAGGUUGAA